CUGGGGUGCUCGAGUGGCGAACGGGUGAGUAACACGUGGGUGAUCUGCCCUGCACUUCGGGAUAAGCUUGGUAAACUGGGUCUAAUACCGGAUAGGACCAUCGUUUAGUGUCGGUGGUGGAAAGUUUUUUCGGUGUGGGAUGAGCUCGCGGCCUAUCAGCUUGUUGGUGGGGUAAUGGCCUACCAAGGCGUCGACGGGUAGCCGGCCUGAGAGGGUGUACGGCCACAUUGGGACUGAGAUACGGCCCAG
rnacentral:rRNA from 1 species